UAGCCAUGAUAUGGACAAGAAUUUGUGAGGUCCUUGAACCUCUCCCAGCAUUGAAAGAAGGUUUCUUCCUCUUUUUAGGCAAAUUUUGUGAUUGCUUUUCUUAAAGUAU